AAACUCAAAUUGGUCAAAGGAGGAAUUUUACCAAAUUAAGAUCAUUCAUUCACUUUGGGAGAUGGAAUGUACAUUCCAUCAAUCCCCUAAAUCCAAUUAUCUUAACCUAGCAAAGUCAAAUCAACCUUGCCCAAGGCCCAAUAACACAAGUCAAACUUAUACAAACAAUUAAAAUGGCUCAACACAAUUAUUUGGCAUUUAUUCAAUUUAAAAAAUA
rnacentral:lncRNA from 1 species